UUUUAAUUUCUGUAUCUACAGACGAGGAUGAUGCCUUAGGUGUGACCUUCAUAGAGAACGUGACAGUGAAAGCCUUUGUGGUGCCAGAAGACGAGGAUGAUGCCUUAGGGGUGACCUUCAUAAGAUAACGUGACAGUGAAAGCCUUUGUGGUGCCAGAAGGUAAGGGUGUGGAGCAGACAGCUUUGUGAAGUUGAAGGGCCUGAAGUGCUUCUGCAAGCUCAAUGAUGGCCUGCCUUGCAACAGCCAGUUCGAAUCAACUGCUUUUGACGACCUGCGUUUGUCUUUUGCUGGUAUGACACGA